UACAAUUUACGAUUGACGUGAGGUGUCAUAAAACCCCCACAUCUAUCCCCCCUCCCCUCUACGGGUGAGAGGGCUCGGUAGACGCUGAUCCAUUGUAACCUGAUCUUUGGAUCCUCACAGGAGAGUCAUGACAGUAUGGAUAUAUUUAGUAUCCCAAAGUUCCCAGAUGUCAUAUUAAAUUCUCCAAAAUACAAAGUAUACACGCAGUGGACACUAUUUCUGUGCUUCUAGGGCCCAUAAUGCAAUUCUUCAGAAAAUGGGCGUGACUUCACAACAUUUUCACAUUUGAAGAAAAUGGCAGAAAAUAAGUCCAACGAGAGCAGAUAAAAAUGAAAGAGGCAUGCGGCUGUGAAGGGGCUUGCGAGUACUGUCUGGAGGGGAAGCGGCUGCAGCCUGGAUAAAGAAAAAAAAAUGGGAGAACCUCAAAGGCAUCUAAAAUGUCUCUAUCUACAUCAUGUCCAGGUUGUAUGAGGACCUGAGCCAUAGGACCAUGCCUCAUGACUACCUGGCCUGAUGACUCCUUGCUGUC